rnacentral:RNase_P_RNA from 1 species
GGGGAAUUUCACUAGUUUUUAGACAGAUAGUGAGUAGCUUUUGAAAGAAAGAGGAAAGUCCAUGCUUGCAUAGUCUGAGAUGACUAUAGUGUUUGUGUAAGUAUAUAAAAAAUAAAACUUAACAAUUAGUGAAAACUAGUUGAUGGCAGAGAUAACUUCUAAGUAUUUUGAACAGCUCUUAUAUGAAGUUAUCUCCAUAAAGUGCCACAGAGACGAGCUUUAUAGAAAUAUAAAGUGUGAAACGCGGUAAACCCCUCAAGCAAGAAACCUAAAAAUUGGUAAGGGAAUUUAGACAAAGGAAUUCAACUGAGUCUAGAAAUAUAGAAAUUGUUUCCUAUAUUAGAUUAAUUACUCACCUCUAAGCCCAGCUUAGAUACAGAACAUGGCUUAUCGUCUGCCUUUAAUAGUAUUAUUUCUCC